CCUACGGGUGGCAGCAGUAGGGAAUCUUCCACAAUGGGCGAAAGCCUGAUGGAGCCACGCCGCGUGGGUGAAGAAGGUCUUCGGGUCGUAAAACCCUGUUGUUAGCGAAGAAAGUACGUGAGAGUAACUAUUCACGUUUCGACGGUAUCUACCCAGAAAGCAACGGCUAACUCCGUGCCAGCAGCCGCGGUAAUACGUAGGUGGCAAGCGUUAUCCGGAAUUAUUGGGCGUAAAGGGAACGCAGGCGGUCUUUUAAGUCUGAUGUGAAAGCCUUCGGCUUAACCGGAGUAGUGCAUUGGAAACUGGGAGACUUGAGUGCAGAAGAGGAGAGUGGAACUCCAGGUGUAGCGGUGAAAUGCGUAGAUAUAUGGAAGAACACCAGUGGCGAAAGCGGCCCUCUGGUCUGUAACUGACGCUGAGGUUCGAAAGCGUGGGGAGCAAACAGGAUUAGAUACCCUUGUAGUC
rnacentral:rRNA from 1 species